CCGCGUGAGUGAUGAAGGCCUAGGGUUGUAAAGCUCUUUGUGCGGGAAGAUAAUGACGGUACCGCAAGAAAUAAGCCCCGGCUAAACUUCGUGC
rnacentral:rRNA from 1 species